rnacentral:rRNA from 1 species
GACAGAGGCCUCGAGCGUUAGGCGGAAUCACUGGGCUUAAAGCGUGUGUAGGCGGGCCCGUACGGGUCUUGUGAAAUCCCACGGCUCAACCGUGGAACUGCUGGGCAUACUGCGGGUCUUGGGCCAACUAGGGGCAGCCGGAACAAGCGGUGGAGCGGUGAAAUGCGUAGAUAUCGCUUGGAACGCCGAAGGUGAAAACAGGCUGCUGGGGUUGCGCCGACGCUGAGACACGAAAGCCAGGGGAGCAAACGGG